UCCCUGAACCCAGGGCAGGAGCUAGGGAAGUAGCUAACUCCCCGGAUACUGGGCUCAGUCAGGAAUUUGAAUAAGGAUUAAGAAUCUGCAUUUAACUGCUACAGCCUCUGCUGGUGAAGAGUAAAACAAGGUUGGUGUGGGCUCCUGUCUUCUUGAAUCUAAGAAAAGAAUUUUUGAUACAAAUCUAAACACAGGAAAUUUUGAGUCCAAUCUGUUUGCAGAAGACUUGAUGGCGGACCCAGAACCCUCCUCUGCAGAGGUCUAGAAGAGUAAAAAGAAAAACAUCAGUGACUGAACAACUAACUUCUACUCUCUGAGUGAGAAAAGAAAUAAGUCAAUAGGAAGCAGACCAUAUUUUUUCAUCCAAAUCAGUGAACAGUUUUUGGUACUCAGGAGCUGGGAGGAAGAGCAGAUCUCUGACACUGGGCUUGGGUCCCAUCUUUUGGAAGCCCUACCCAUAGUUGGUAGUUUUCAGAACAAAAUUUUAAGAUAGCAAUAGUAUUUAUUCUUGUAAAACUGAGAUUACACUUGCAAAAGCGUCUUUGAUAAACUUAAGAAAAUUAACUGAUUGUUCUAUAAUCCCUCACAUGUAAUCCUCCCUAAAUGGGUCAAACUGCAGGAUUGUGGGGACCAAGACAAUAAA